GACGUAGGGGACGAGCGUUGUCCGGAUUCAUUGGGUCGUAAGCGCGCGUAGGCGGUUUGGUAAGUCGGAAUGUGAAAACCAGAGGCUCAACCUCUGGCCUGCAUCCGAUACUGGCCCGACUAGAGGUAGGUAGGGGAGAUCGGAAUUCCUGGUGUAGCGGUGAAAAUGCGCAGAUAUCAGGAAGAACACCCGUGGCGAAAGCGGCUCUCUGGAACGGUACUGACGCUGAGACGCGAAAGCGUGGGGAGCGAACAGG
rnacentral:rRNA from 1 species